AGUGAACGCUGGCGGUAGGCCUAACACAUGCAAGUCGAACGGCAGCACAGUAAGAGCUUGCUCUUACCGGUGGCGGGUGGCGGGCGGGUGACGAAUGUAUCGUAAUCUACUCUUUCGUGGGGCAUAACGUAACGAAACUUACGCUAAUACCGCAUAUCACCUACCGGGGAAAGCAUGGGAACGUUGGGCCGUUCGCGGUUGAAUGAGCCGAUGACGGACUAGCUAGUGGGGCGGGUAAAGGCCCACCAAGGCGACGAUCGGUAGCCGGUCUGAGUGGAUGAUCAGCCACACUGGAGCGUAGCCACGGUCCAGAGUACUACGGGACGCAGCAGUGGGGUAUAUUGGGCAAUGGGCGCAAGUAUUGUCCAGCGAUCCCGCGUGUGUUAAGGCGGCGUUCGGGUUGUAAAGACCUCUUGCGGGGUAAGAACAGCUGUCGGUUGUUACGACGCGGUUGUGACGGUAACCAAUGAAUAAGCACCGGCUAACUUCGUG
rnacentral:rRNA from 1 species